GACGAACGCUGGCGGCGUGCUUAACACAUGCAAGUCGAGCGGUAAGGCCCUUUCGGGGGUACGACGAGCGGCGAACGGGUGAGUAACACGUGGGUGACCUGCCUCUAGCUCUGGGAUAAGCCUGGGAAGCUGGGUCUAAUACCGGAUAUGACCUCGCGGUGCAUGUUGCGGGGUGGAAAGCCUUGUGCGGCUAGGGAUGGGCCCGCGGCCUAUCAGCUUGUUGGNGGGGUGAGGCCUACCAAGGCGACGACGGGUAGCCGGCCUGAGAGGCGACCGGCCACACUGGGACUGAGACACGGCCCAGACUCCUACGGGAGGCAGCAGUGGGGAAUCUUGCGCAAUGGGCGAAAGCCUGACGCAGCGACGCCGCGUGAGGGAUGACGGCCUGGUUGUAA
rnacentral:rRNA from 1 species